rnacentral:rRNA from 1 species
UACGUAGGGGGGCAAGCGUUGUCCGGAUUUAUUGGGCGUAAAGAGCUCGUAGGCGGUUCCGUAAGUCGAGUGUGAAAAAUCUGGGCUCAACCCAGUGGAGCACUCGAUAUUGCGGUGACUAGAAUACGGUAGAGGAGUGUGGAAUUCCUGGUGUAGCGGUGAAAUGCGCAGAUAUCAGGAGGAACACCAACGGCGAAGGCAGCACUCUGGGCCGGUAUUGACGCUGAGGAGCGAAAGCGUGGGGAGCAAACAGG